rnacentral:rRNA from 1 species
UACGUAGGGUGCAAGCGUUAAUCGGAAUUACUGGGCGUAAAGGGCGCGUAGGCGGCCACCGCAAGUCGACUGUGAAAUCUCCGGGCUUAACCCGGAAAGGUCAGCCGAUACUGCGGGGCUAGAGUGCAGAAGGGCAACUGGAAUUCUCGGUGUAGCGGUGAAAUGCGUAGAUAUCGAGAGGAACACCUGCGGCGAAGGCGGGUUGCUGGGCUGAACACGUGACGCUGGAUGCGCGAAAGCUAGGGGAGCGAACGGG